AUUGAACGCUGGCGGCAUGCUUUACACAUGCAAGUCGAACGGCAGCGCGGGCUUCGGCCUGGCGGCGAGUGGCGAACGGGUGAGUAAUACAUCGGAACGUGCCCAGUAGUGGGGGAUAGCUCGGCGAAAGCCGGAUUAAUACCGCAUACGACCUGAGGGUGAAAGCGGGGGAUCUUCGGACCUCGCGCGACUUGAGCGGCCGAUGGCAGAUUAGCUAGUUGGUGGGGUAAAGGCCUACCAAGGCGACGAUCCGUAGCUGGUCUGAGAGGACGACCAGCCACACUGGGACUGAGACACGGCCCAGACUCCUACGGGAGGCAGCAGUGGGGAAUUUUGGACAAUGGGCGAAAGCCUGAUCCAGCAAUGCCGCGUGUGUGAUGAAGGCCUUCGGGUUGUAAAGCACUUUUGGCGGGAACGAAAAGGACUGUGCCAAUACCACGGUUCGAUGACGGUACCCGCAGAAUAAGCACCGGCUAACUGCGUG
rnacentral:rRNA from 1 species